AUCCAGCUGACGAGUCCCAAAUAGGAAGAGACAAGCGUCCUGGAU
rfam:Schistosoma margrebowiei strain Zambia genome assembly, scaffold: SMRZ_scaffold0000788